GGCAGCUGAAAAAGUUAGAUGAAGAUAGUUUAACUAAACAACCAGAAGAAGUGUUUGAUGUCUUAGAGAAACUUGGAGAAGGCUUCUAAGAGAUAUGCAAUAACUUGUUUCAUGAAAAAAAAACAAUGAAGGGACUUCCCUGGCGGUCCAGUGGUUAAGGCUCCACACUUCCACUACAGGGGGCUCGAGUUCCAUCCCUGGUCAGGGAACUAAGAUCCUUCAUGCCACGCGGAGCAGCGGAAAAAAAAAAAAAAAAAAAAAGGAAUUCAGCAUUUUAUCAAUAGUUAAUGCAGCUUUGGGAAAUACAGUAAAUAAGUCAAGGACUGUGACUACCUUUACAUCUUUCCUAAGAGAUCCAGAAUUAUAGAUUGGGAACCAGAGGACUUCUUGAAACACAGAUUGUGAAUGAGUUUAUAAAAUACUGGUGAAAUGAUAUUUGGUAAUAGAUAGUGGCCGUCAUUGGCUUUCCUGGUACAAUAAAGGUUAUAUUGUAAGUUUUUAUACUUUUACAUAUAUUGAUACUUCUAAUCUUUGUAUGUUUAUUUCUUUUUCUUAAGGACCAAGACAUUAAAAUAUUAGAGAUACCCUUUCUUAAGUUUUUGUUGUUCAUUUUUGAAUAGGUAAUCAAGUCACAUGAUUCAGAAUUUAAAAAGUGUAAAAGUGUUACAAUGAAAAAAAUUUGCCUCUCUCUCUCAGCCACCCAGAAGCAACCAGGAUAGCAGUUUUUUGUGUGUUCUUCAGAGGUAGUUUAUGCAUAUAUAAGCAAAUAAACGUGUGGGUGUGUGUGUAAUUUUAUUAAAUCUCUUGGGAGUACUUCUGGUUCAAGAGAAGACCUGAAAUGUUAACUUAUAAAAAUGUCAAAUUAAUGUCUGUUCUUUAAAAUCAGCUUUUAUGUGUCAUUAGGUUAUUUUGGAGUUUCGUGUUAUUUAUGCCUAAUAUAGAUAUGCAAUGUUAAACCCACUCCUGGAUUACAUGGAAUAGGUUUUCAUGGAUUACCUCCUUGUGAAAAACAUUAGUCAUCAUCUUUUGUAAGUUGGAAAAAUACUCUUUGGAAUCAAGCAAGAAAUCAAGCAGAGAAGGGAAGUAAAAGAUGACACCAGCUGUGCUGCUAAAAGACAAGUACACGAUGAAUCUGAAACCACAAGUUGACUUGGCAUUGUUAAAGAUCUAUGGAUUUCUUCAUUAAGGACCUUGGAAAUGUCCCUGGAAAGACAUCACCAGAGAGAAAACAAUUAAAACUUCAGAUCUUCCCGUGUUAUCAUCAUAUUGUUUUUUUAAAUAAUACUACAAGUGCUUGGAUUUUUGUCAUCCCGACUGAAUGAGCCUGAACAAGCUUCAUUUAAUGAGCAAAAUCCCAAAGAAAAACCCAAACUGUGCUUCCCUCCUAAACACAAAUGGCCAUGCCAUCCCUAAAUGGUUCUGGAAAAUGAAUGGAUUGUGAACUCUCACUGACAUGGGCCUUGUGAAAUGAGCUCUGGCUAAAAGAUUGUAUUGGAUUCCCAAGGCUGUAACUCUUCUGCAUUUUGAGGAAAUCAUGUGGAUCUGUGGCAGAGCAGAGCCAAAGCUCCAGACCAGGAUGGAUGGACAGCACUUGGGAAGUGUUUUGAAUUAGAGCCUAGUGCCUUUUUUUUCCUCUUAUACUUAAAGUUUUACACAUUGAUCAUUUAAGUUUUUAAUCAUAGGAUAAUAACAAAAACAUCUUGCCCAUGGUUUCAUAGCUAGUGAGUGGUAUUAAGACUUAUGCCUGGUUAAUUUGGCCUCAAAUACUGUAUAAUUUCUAUGUUUCUGCAUUGACCCUUGCCUUGCAUAGCUUGUGGGAAGCACUUCCAUCCUCACCAUCUUUGUUCUCUGCUAGUUAAAAUUCAUUGAAUCACUGUGGUUUUUGUUGUAGAGAAUUAGGUCUUAAGGGACUUGCCUAUAAGGGAGCAUGACUGCUGAAGCCUUCUAAAUCCUCUAUACUGUAAGUGUGAUCUGUGGAAUCCGGAAUCUUAAUUGUUCCUAUGAGCUCUUGGAGUUUUCUUGGCUGUCAAGAUAGCAUAGUGAGGCGUGGAGGGUGUUCUGGUCAAGACUGCUGAGUAAGUGCACGUAGGAACCUCUCCUUUCCAUUUCAAAUAUAUAAGAAUAAUAAAUGAAAAUUAUUUUUUUAAAUAUAAGGAUAAAUAGCCAGCUAUAGACCAGGGAUAGAAAAGAUAGCUGUCAUAGUAAGAGGAGAGUAAAGCGUGCCUCGUCCUUGUCGGGAGAUUGUAGAUGGGCUUCCUGUAUGAAGUUGUGGUAUCAUUUGCCUGUAGCCUGGGGAAAAAGCAGAGGGACUGGUCUGACUAUAGGAACUGGGCCUGGACUGUAUUCAGGUAUGGUGUCUUAAGGGGCGAAAACCCUAAAUCCUAGUGCAAGACCUGGUUUAAAUUGUACAGCCUAGAUGACUGAGCUAGGGGAACCAUGAAACCAUCCUGACAUCAUGAAACACUCAUGACAGUGAGCACUGUGUAGGGAAGAAUCAUUCAAAAUAAAAGGAAGCCCAUACAAGGAAAUCCAGUGCUGUG